rnacentral:rRNA from 1 species
AUUGAACGCUGGCGGCAAGCCUAACACAUGCAAGUCGAACGAGUGGCGGACGGGUGAGUAAUGUCUGGGAAACUGCCUGAUGGAGGGGGAUAACUACUGGAAAAGGUAGCUAAUACCGCAUACCAUCGGAUGUGCCCAGAUGGGAUUAGCUAGUAGGUGGGGUAAAGGCUCACCUAGGCGACGAACCCUGGCUGGUCUGAGAGGAUGACCAGCCACACUGGAACUGCGACCCGGUCCAAACGCCUACGGGAGGCAGCAGUGGGGAAUAUUGCACAAUGGGCGCAAGCCGGAUGCAGCCAUGCCGCGUGUAUGAAGAAGGCCUUCGGGUUGUAAAGUACUUUCAGCGGUGAGGCGUUACCCGAAGAAGAAGCACCGGCUAACUCCGUGCCAGCAGCCGCGGUAAUAC